UCGUAAUACCACUGCAGAACAGUUUUUCCAGUUCUUGCACACUGCCAAAACACAGAGGGAGCAAAGAAUUUUCCCACUUGAUGCUGUUUGAUUUUUUUCAAUGAAAAGUCAGGGAUGACACAGAUUGGAUGUUCUGGGAUAUCAACAGAGAAUUUUCAAUAUCAGGCUUUUGGAAACCAUGUGAUCAACCGAGAUGAACUUACAAGAGAGCUUCAAGUCUCAGCAUGCAUCAGCUCUUGGACUACACCAGCAUCCAUUCGAAUUGAGAGUAUGCAAGUCAGACAAGCACGGCCCUGGGGCUUUGGACACAGUCUAGACCUGAGGUGCAGUGAUGAAGUAGGGCGGAGAGGAUGUCAGAGGCUAUGAAACUCCAAAAUCAUAGGAAAGAGUACUGCAUCCAUCUCUGCUGUCUUCAACACAGGAAGGACAUCAACUUGUUGGAGCAAGUCUAGAGGAGGACCACCAAGUGGAUUAGAGGAAUGGAGCACUUCUGUUAUGAGGAAAGGCUAAGAGAACUGGCUUUCUUCAGCCUGGAAAAGAGAAGGCUUCGGGGUGACCUAAUGGUAGCCUUCCAGUAUCUAAAGGGAGCCUACAAGAAAGAUGCAGAGGGGCUUUUUAGAGAGACAUGUAGUGAUAGAACAAGGGUAAGUGGUUUCAAACUGAAAGAGAGUAGGUUUAGAUUAGAUAUUGGGACAAAAUUCUUUACUGUGAGGGGGUGUGUGCGAAGCACUGGAAUAGGCUGUCAAGAGAACUUGUGGACGCCCCACCCUGGAAGUGUUUAAGGGCAACCUGGUCUAGUGAAAAGUGUCACUGCCAACAGCAGAGGGUUUGGAACUAGGUGAUCUUUAAGGUCCCUUCUAACCCAGGCCAUUCUAUGAUUCUAUGAUUCUAUGAUUCUAUGAUUCUAUGAUAUCCGGAAAAAAUAAUCAUAACACCAGAAUGCUUGAACUGCAUCCUUGAAAAAUCGUGCCUACGGGCAGCAGCUGGAGGAGGAGGAGGGAUGUUCGGGGGAUGGAAGCCCUUCCUGAUGACCACCACGUCCCUGUGAUCCCCCAGACCGGGCGCGGGGGUCC